UACAGAGGUGGCAAGCGUUGUUCGGAAUUACUGGGCGUAAAGGGCGCGUAGGCGGUUCGUUAAGUCCUGUGUGAAAUCCCCCGGCUCAACUGGGGAACUGCACAGGAAACUAGCGGGCUUGAGUUCGGGAGAGGGAAGCGGAAUUCCGGGUGUAGCGGUGAAAUGCGUAGAUAUCCGGAGGAACACCGGUGGCGAAGGCGGCUUCCUGGACCGAGACUGACGCUGAGGCGCGAAAGCUAGGGGAGCAAACGGG
rnacentral:rRNA from 1 species